UGAUUAUAAGCUGGGUUAGCAAGAACAGCCCUCCUUUUUACUUUCCUUCAGGGAAGGACAGGGUUAAAAAACCUUAGUCUGACUUUGCCUCUUGGAAAGCCUUGGGUUGCAGCCCUGCCUUCCAAGCAUUCUUUAAACUAGAAAUGUGGGAGGGCCUCCAGGAGGGAGAGAGAAAGAGGGAGAGGGCUCUUAGAGGAGGGAGAGCUAGAGAGCAAGCCAGAGAGGAGCGAGAUGGCUAUCAGCUGAAUUCAUUACUGUAAACAUCUCCCAGGGGUGUCAGGCUGGGGGGCGGGGAAGGCGGGGGCGAGGCACGACUUACAUUAGCGGGGAAUAGUCAAACCUGAGGCAUCGUUACUGCUAAGAUCAACCUCGCAAUCCCCGUCUGAAGAAGGCUCAAGACUUGGAGCUAGACACACGCGCGCGCGUGCACACACUCACACACACGCUCCCGCUCCCACAUACGUGUGUGGGGUAUCUGGAGACUUGUCCGAGUCCUGGAUCUCGGUGUUUCCUCCAGUGAUCCUUUCAUCGCCUCUAAAGGAGACCCCUUCGAGAGCGCAUCCUGCGGCUGCAUUUUUCCCCUUCGGUUUUCCCCAGUUUUCCUUUUCCUUUUUUUGGGGGGCGGGGGUCAGAGAAGGGGGCGUCAUUUUUUAUUUGCGAAGAACACCAGUAGGGGAGCGGGGGCGCUGGGCAGAAGGAAGGGGUGGUGGUGGUGACAAGAAGGCAGAAGAGAAGAGAAAGUGGGAUGCCAGAGCCCUGGGCUGCGCGUUGGAGGAGGAGGUGGAGGAGGAAGGGGGAGGACGAUGCCGCUGCUUCAUAGGGGAGGAAGGCGAGAGCAAGGGGAAAGGAGCGCUCCGGUGAGCUGGCAGAGGCGAGCCGCGGGGUGCGGAGAAGCGUGCCCGUCACAGCGGCUCCGGCUCGGGCUACAGCUCCGGCAGCCCCCGAUCCAGCCGCCGGAUACCCACCCAGGGCACCCGCAGCCUCCACCGCGAUCCAGAGGCAGGAGCAAAAGUUUGGAUCUCGGGGAGGGAAAAGCGCAAAGAGGGAUUAUGACCAGGGCUGGAAAAGGACUGCAAGAAUCUUCGCAGAUCAGUGGCUGCAUACUGAGGAGAAGGCUUAGUCAUGACUUCUGCAGUAACUCCAACCUCUUCUCUCAAAGCUAGGGACAAUGUACAGAGAAGGUAUGCUGUGCCCAGGUGGCGAAAACUGAGUUUGAUGGAGGGUCUCUUUUAUGAACUC
rnacentral:lncRNA from 1 species